rnacentral:lncRNA from 1 species
UUUUUUUUUUUUUUUUUUGCAGGAUCAACCUUGAUUCCUCUUUCGUUCGCAACAUGCCUCGGCAGCUUGCUGGACAGCACUCCAUAAGUGCGCUAAUUCGAACUCAACAGUAUGAGUUAUCUUUACCUGUCAAACAACUUGAUCCACCGGAUGCCCCUCUUCUGCUUGGGACUUUGCCAUCAUGUCAUCAACAUGGCAUUUGCUUUCACGAUGAAUCAUAUCAUGAAACAAAGUCACCCUAGACUUCUGAUACUUGGCACCGGCCUUCUCGAUACUGAACGACAUCACCUUAUAACCAGACGGUGCCCCUUGUG